rnacentral:rRNA from 1 species
CAGGGUUUGACAUGCCGGUAGUACCGACCUGAAAGGGAAGGGAUCCCGCAAGGGAAGCCGGCACAGGUGGUGCAUGGCUGUCGUCAGCUCGUGUCGUGAGAUGUUGGGUUAAGUCCCGCAACGAGCGCAACCCUCGCCCUCUGUUGCCAGCGGGUCAUGCCGGGCACUCUGAGGGAACUGCCCCGGUCAACGGGGAGGAAGGCGGGGACGACGUCAAGUCAUCAUGCCCCUUACGCCCUGGGCUACACACGUGCUACAAUGGCCGGUACAGAGGGCUGCAAACCCGCGAGGGGGAGCCAAUCCCACAAAGCCGGUCUAAGUUCGGAUUGCAGGCUGCAACUCGCCUGCAUGAAGGAGGAAUCGCUAGUAAUCGCGCAUCAGCACGGCGCGGUGAAUACGUUCCC